rnacentral:ncRNA from 1 species
GUUGUUUGCGGAGAUGGCAUCCUCCCUUAACCGCCGCGUCGUCUCCAUGUGGCUAAUGAUGCCUACCAGUCC